rnacentral:lncRNA from 1 species
ACCCUUCUUUAGGCCCGUGGUGGGUGGCCUACUCCCUCUCCGGUGACAUAGCCCUGCCCAUCUCGGAUCUAGCUCCAGUGACACCUUCCCCAUGCCAUCGUUCCAGUGGAGGCGCAGAAGCUUGUUCCGGUGGUGACUUCCUGCUUUUCAGUUAACUUUAGUAGCGCUAAAACUCUUUGCCUCCUUCAGUUAACUUGCUCUUCAUGUCCUAGAUGGAUCUCGUCCUCGAGCAGUUCAUGGUGUGGAUCUCCGGCGGUUAGCUUUUGGGUUUCUUCUACUCCUCCGACCUGGGCUCUGUAGUCUGCAAUUAUUUGGGGGUUAUCUGUAGCUACUAGUUUGCUUGAACUGAAUAAGGAGUUGACUGAGCCGGCCAUUUCAGUUAGCUCAAACCGAAGAAAAAAAGGUGUGUUACUUGUCUAUUUGGAUACUUGGGUAGCCACUGAAUUUUACUGUUGAGGUCUAAUAUGUGUCAGGGCAUCUAAACUGCAGCAUUUACUGACGUGAUGUGUAUAGGUUACAAGGAUGCGUGUAUGUGUACUUGGAUGUUCAGUUCUUACUUGCAAAUAAUGUUGUGUCAAGAGUCAACACAUCCCUGUCCGGUUUAUUAUUUUGGGGAUCCAGUGAUUUUUUUUCCUGUUAGCAG